rfam:Dipodomys ordii contig_15475, whole genome shotgun sequence.
GGUGGCUCAGUGGUAGAGUGUUUGCCUUGCAUGCAUGAGGCCUUGGGUUCGAUUCCUCAGCACCA